UACGGAGGGUGCGAGCGUUGUCCGGAAUCGCUGGGCGUAAAGGGCGCGUAGGCGGCUCAUGAAGGCUGUGGUGAAAGUCCGGGGCUCAACCUCGGAUCGGCCGUGGCGACUCGUGGGCUGGAGCACUGUAGAGGCGGGUGGAAUUCCGGGUGUAGCGGUGGAAUGCGUAGAGAUCCGGAAGAACACCAGUGGCGAAGGCGGCCCGCUGGGCAGUGGCUGACGCUGAAGCGCGACAGCGUGGGGAGCAAACGAGGA
rnacentral:rRNA from 1 species